UGAGUAUUCUUCAAUGUUCCUAAAAGCCAACAAAUUUUUUAGGGCUACUUGGGACAGUGGCAUGUGGUCGUGAUGAUUUGAGAGGAAAAGCUGGGAAUCUGCAUAAAUACAGAAUGUGUGAAGGGCAUUUUGAGGACAAACACUUUCUCAAUCACCUUAAAAACAGACUGAAGCCCAAUGCUGUGCCAUCGAUUUUUCCCACAUUGGAAAGUUCCUAAAACUCACAUUGGGAUCACACAUACGCUGCAUUCACCACAGUAAUCGCUGAUGAAGAUACUUCUGGAUAUCAAAACCAUCUAGAUUCUGAACAUUAUGUGGUAGAUCCAGAAAAUUCUGUGACAUGCAAAAUCAUUAUUCAGCAGAAUAUUCUUUUGAACCCAGAUCAGCAUCGAGAACCACUACAGCUUUUAAGUACAGCAUUACCCCCAUUACGUGAAAGAAUGAUAUCUCCAGAUUCUUAAACACAAACAUCUCCUCAUUGCUCAGCUCACACCCCUCGAAGAGAGAAUCUUAGAAGUGUUACCAAAAACUUGAGGAACGAGAAUUACCGUUUGAAAAAUCUGGUUGAGGAGCUGGAGAACAUGUUAUUGACUGCUAAAAAAAGUUUUGGAAAACCUUUCUUUGCAAGGUUACAAAAACCUGACAAAUAAGUUUUGUCCUUCGAAGAAUUUGGCUGAUUUCAUCAAUAUCCAAGUUUUGCAAUCACAGAAAAAACCUAAGGGACGAAGAUAUUCAACCGAAUUCAAAACAGAAUGUUUUGGAAUGUACUUUACUGGACCUAAGUUAUAUAAAAAUAAAUUAGUUAAAACCCUCUGUUUACCCAGCUACAGAACACUAUUGAGGCAUGUUGAGAAUAUCAAAAUUAAACCAGGAUUGAAUAAUUCAGUUUUGAAGUUGCUACAGCUUAAGGUCAAAAAUUUGUCUGAACAAGAUAAAUUUUGUGUAUUGUGUUUUGAUGAAAUGACAAUGAAAUCUAAUUUAUUUUACGACUUAGGCAGUGAUGAGAUAACCGGUUUGGAAGAUUAUGGUAAUGGGUUAAAAUCAUUCCAUCCAGCUGAAAAUGUCACAACAUUCUUGGUGAAAGGGCUAUUCAGGAACUGGAAACAACCCUUAUCGGUUUAUUUUCAUCGCUCCACCUGCACUCCAGAAAAGUUGAAAGAAAUUCUUUUUGAAACUAUCUAGGCACUCUUUGAAUGUGGAUUGAAAGUUACUGUAGUGGUUAGUGACCUGGGAUCAAAUAACUGGAAGUUGUCAAAUAUUCUUGGUGUGACUGUAGAAAAACCAUUUUUUUAUGUGAAUGAUCAAAAAAUAUUCCAGAUGUUUGAUACCCCUCAUCUCAUAAAAUUACCUAUUACGUCACCAUUUUGUUUUUAAAAAUAAGAAGACUCCAUGGGAAUAUAUAAAAACUCUUUACCAACAUGACAAAAACUAUGCUUUGAGAGCUGUUCCCAAAUUGACAGAUUCCCAAAUUUUCCCGAAUGGAAUUGAGAAAAUGAAGGUUAAAUUAGCCACCCAGGUGUUGAGUGAAACUGUUUCUGCUAGUUUAAGCCUCUACACCGUGUUAGGAAUCACACGUUAAAAUGUAAGACCUCGUUAGUCCUCAGCUCGCACAAGUUUCUC